CGCUGUGAUCUAAAACCAUAGCUUGAAGCUAUUAAUCGAGGCCCCAAGAUGGAGAAGCUGGCGUAGUGGUAGUGGGGAGAGCAGAGAAAGCAAGAAAACGUAGAACAAAAUUUGGUAGGACUCAUUGGGACUGAGUGGCUCGACUGGACGACACGCAAAUUUUUCCAAAACAUCCAGCGAAAGCUAUAUAAAUAUCCAGGGAGCGAGUGAUGGUGACCAUAGUUUUGCCGCCAAAUCGAGAAUACCUCGCCGAGGGAAAAUUCACACCAAUACCCGGACGAGAAGUUGCAGCUCACCGUGUGAGUGCAGAUAAA